rnacentral:rRNA from 1 species
AUGGCUGCCACCGUCGCCGUGGACAACCUCAACCCCAAGGUUUUAAAAUGUGAGUAUGCUGUGCGUGGAGAGAUUGUCAUCCAUGCUCAGCGCUUGCAGCAACAGCUUCAAACUCAACCAGGAUCUCUACCUUUUGAUGAGAUCCUCUAUUGUAACAUUGGGAACCCACAAUCUCUUGGUCAGCAACCAGUUACAUUCUUCAGGGAGGUUCUUGCACUUUGUGAUCAUCCAGAUCUGUUGAAAAAGGAGGAAAUCAAAACAUUGUUCAGUGCUGAUUCUAUUUCUCGAGCAAAGCAGAUUCUUGCCUUGAUACCUGGAAGAGCAACAGGAGCAUACAGUCAUAGCCAGGGUAUAAAAGGACUUCGUGAUGCAAUUGCUUCUGGGAUCGCUUCACGAGAUGGAUUCCCUGCUAAUGCUGAUGACAUUUUUCUUACAGAUGGAGCAAGCCCUGGGGUGCACCUGAUGAUGCAAUUACUGAUAAGGAAUGAGAAAGAUGGCAUUCUUGUCCCGAUUCCUCAGUACCCUUUGUACUCGGCUUCUAUAGCUCUUCAUGGCGGAUCUCUUGUCCCAUACUAUCUCAAUGAAUCGACGGGCUGGGGUUUGGAAAUCUCUGAUGUUAAGAAGCAACUCGAAGAUGCUCGCUCAAGAGGCAUCGACGUUAGGGCUUUGGUGGUUAUCAAUCCAGGAAAUCCUACUGGACAGGUACUUGCUGAGGAAAACCAAUAUGACAUAGUGAAGUUCUGCAAAAAUGAGGGUCUUGUUCUUCUGGCUGAUGAGGUAUACCAAGAGAACAUCUACGCUGACAACAAGAAAUUCCACUCUUUCAAGAAGAUAGUGAGAUCCUUGGGAUACGGCGAGGAUGAUCUCCCUCUAGUAUCAUAUCAAUCUGUUUCUAAGGGAUAUUAUGGUGAGUGUGGUAAAAGAGGUGGUUACAUGGAGAUUACUGGCUUCAGUGCUCCAGUAAGAGAGCAGAUCUACAAAAUAGCAUCAGUGAACCUAUGUUCCAAUAUCACCGGCCAGAUCCUUGCUAGUCUUGUCAUGAACCCACCAAAGGCUAGUGAUGAAUCAUAUGCUUCAUACAAGGCAGAAAAGGAUGGGAUCCUUGCAUCGUUAGCUCGUCGUGCGAAGGCAUUGGAGAUUGCAUUCAGUAAACUUGAGGGAAUUACUUGCAACAAGGCUGAAGGAGCAAUGUACCUGUUCCCUCAAAUCUGUCUGCCACAGAAGGCGAUUGAGGCUGCUAAAGCUGCUAACAAGGCACCUGAUGCAUUCUAUGCUCUUCGUCUCCUUGAGUCGACCGGAAUCGUCGUUGUCCCUGGAUCUGGAUUUGGCCAGGUUCCUGGCACAUGGCACUUCAGGUGCACGAUCCUUCCGCAGGAGGAGAAGAUCCCGGCGAUCAUCUCCCGCUUCACGGUGUUCCAUGAGACGUUCAUGGCAGAGUACCGUGACUAA